rnacentral:lncRNA from 1 species
GCAAGGAGACAGAGAGAGAUGGGGAAAUAUCCUCACCAACAGCCCUGCUGCAGUGAAAACUGGAGGAUCCCUGAAUGGAAAGGAAUGCUAUGCACACUUUUUGGAUACAGAAAGUGAGAUUCAGAGGGGUUAAACAGCUUUCCUGAAGCCACACAGCGAGAUUGUCGAUCUGAACUGAAGAUUGUUUGACAUCAAAGCUCAUUUCUUUCCCUAAAUGUCAGCAUUCUUUCCUGACUUAUUAAUUUGAUUUCUGUCCUCCCCUCAUGGAAGUUAAUUAAAGGAAUGCGAGAACCUUUU